rnacentral:rRNA from 1 species
UGAGGAAUAUUGGUCAAUGGGCGAGAGCCUGAACCAGCCAAGUAGCGUGCAGGAUGACGGCCCUAUGGGUUGUAAACUGCUUUUAUGUGGGGAUAAAGUGCGUGACGUGUCAUGCAUUGCAGGUACCACAUGAAUAAGGACCGGCUAAUUCCGUGCCAGCAGCCGCGGUAAUACGGAAGGUCCGGGCGUUAUCCGGAUUUAUUGGGUUUAAAGGGAGCGUAGGCUGUCUAUUAAGCGUGUUGUGAAAUUUACCGGCUCAACCGGUGGCUUGCAGCGCGAACUGGUCGACUUGAGUAUGCAGGAAGUAGGCGGAAUUCAUGGUGUAGCGGUGAAAUGCUUAGAUGUCAUGACGAACUCCGAUUGCGCAGGCAGCUUACUGUAGCAUAACUGACGCUGAUGCUCGAAAGUGCGGGUAGCAAACAGG